rnacentral:rRNA from 1 species
CCUUUGACGUUAGCGGCGGACGGGUGAGUAACACGUGGGUAACCUACCUAUAAGACUGGGAUAACUUCGGGAAACCGGAGCUAAUACCGGAUAAUAUUUCGAACCGCAUGGUUCGAUAGUGAAAGGUGGUUUUGCCAUCACUUAUAGAUGGACCCGCGCCGUAUUAGCUAGUUGGUAAGGUAACGGCUUACCAAGGCGACGAUACGUAGCCGACCUGAGAGGGUGAUCGGCCACACUGGAACUGAGACACGGUCCAGACUCCUACGGGAGGCAGCAGUC